AGAGUUUGAUCAUGGCUCAGGAUGAACGCUAGCGGCAGGCUUAAUACAUGCAAGUCGAGGGGCAGCAUAAAUGUAGCAAUACAUUUGAUGGCGACCGGCAAACGGGUGCGGAACACGUACACAACCUUCCUAUAAGUGGGGAAUAGCCCAGAGAAAUUUGGAUUAAUACCCCGUAACAUAAUGAAGUGGCAUCACUUUAUUAUUAUAGCUCCGGCGGUUUUGGAUGGGCGUGCGCCUGAUUAGGUAGUUGGCGGGGUAACGGCCCACCAAGCCUUCGAUCAGUAACUGGUGUGAGAGCACGACCAGUCACACGGGCACUGAGACACGGGCCCGACUCCUACGGGAGGCAGCAGUAAGGAAUAUUGGUCAAUGGACGCAAGUCUGAACCAGCCAUGCCGCGUGAAGGAUGAAGGUCCUCUGGAUUGUAAACUUCUUUUAUCUGGGACGAAAAAAGGGAAUUCUUUCUCACUUGACGGUACCAGAGGAAUAAGCACCGGCUAACUCCGUG
rnacentral:rRNA from 1 species